CAUGAUGACAAAGAGUGAUAUGUUAUUUUAGUCUUCUCAAAGCUUUCUGUCUUGUAAGCGGCACAAUAUGUGUGACGUAGCUAUUUGCAAGUCAUUUUUGGCGACGUUUGCAAGUUUUAUUGAUAUCUAAGUGUAUCCAUUUUGACGCCAAAGUUUUCAAGGCAAAUCUUUGCUUUAUGAACGUUAUACUUAAGUACUUAUACUUUAUAAACGUCCAAUUUGAACCUGUAACGGUCAAAGACUUCACGGAACUCGUGUCGGCCACAGCAAUGGCCAAAUCACACGAAUGUUCAAGCAAAUGUUAACACUUCUCAAAAAGACACGAAGCCGAAUUUUCGGUUGCUCUAUGCAUGGGUUCAAAAAUGAAACCCUGUCAGUCACAAAGUUUUAAUCGAAUCCGUUGUCUUCUUCGGUUAAUGCGUCAAUAUUCAAUGUCAAAUUCAAGAUCAUUGCCGUGCAUAUUUCAAACGAUACACUCAAACAUGUUAGCAAUGCACAUAAAUCUGUAACAUUAUCAUCAUUAUGUUUAUCUUUUUCGGUAUAAGUCACGGUUAUGAUAUAGGAUUGCCUGUACAUUGAACCUAUAAGUUCAAGCAAUGGACGUACUACGUUGUUUUUGUGCGUGCGUGGAGCAGUAAAAUUGAAAUAGCGGACGGCGCUUUUUUGCUAAGCCAAUAAAUCCCACCAAUGUAGACAUGAGGUUCUUUCUAUAUACAGAUGAUGUCAAAGUUGGUAUAAGGUCGCGCAGUAGAAAUAUGUUUGUUAUUUGCAUAGGAUACGCGUACGAGUUAUAUACAACCCAGUUGUUACUCGUAACUCUAUCAUUGUACGUUUUACAUUGCUUUUGAAAAAUUUGACACACAGUAAAUAAAAUACAUAAGAGGAGCGUAUGUAGCUAAUAAAUAUAGUGCUUACAUCGUAGUGCAACUUUAUUUGCUUCCAGAAUGCUACAGACAACAUACGUGUUUUUAUGCUUCAUUAUUAAAUUAGGAAGAGCAUAUCGCCUGCUGGCGGUUUGAAAAAAGCCCUUGGGAAAAAAACAGACAAAAUGACAUCAAACUAAACCAAAGAUACAUAAGAAAGAUAACAAAAUAUCGCAAAAUUAAUAAUUGAUGUAAAAGCAACUCAUAACAUAAGUCGUGAUAAAUUAAAUACAUUCACGAAUCAUUUGUAGUAUGCAUAAUGCCCUUUAAUUUCGAUAUACCAAGAAUAAAGUAUUCCCUUUCACUAUUGCCGCUUCGUUAAUCAGGAUUGUGAUAUUUUUGAAAUAAUAUUUACAACAUUGAUAAUUAUAGUAGACAGCCGUAAACUGUGUAUUGCAAUGCUGAUAUAAUACAGUCUGACGCAUUUUUUCCAAUAAUGAAUGUGUAACUUACUGUUUAUCAACACAUAGAUACCAAUAGCUAUCUCAAGAAUUUCCUAUCUUUAUAUAUCGCUACGGGCACAAUACGGUACUCUUUUAUCCAAUAUUGUUUCGUGUAA